rnacentral:misc_RNA from 1 species
GAUGAAGAACGCAGCGAAAUGCGAUAAGUAAUGUGAAUUGCAGAAUUCAGUGAAUCAUCGAAUCUUUGAACGCACAUUGCGCCCGCCAGUAUUCUGGCGGGCAUGCCUGUUCGAGCGUCAUUACAACCCUCAGGCCCCCGGGCCUGGCGUUGGGGAUCGGCGGAGCCCCCCGUGGGCACACGCCGUCCCCCAAAUGCAGUGGCGGACCCGCCGCAGCUUCCAUCGCGUAGUAGCUAACACCUCGCGACUGGAGAGCGGCGCGGCCACGCCGUAAAACACCCAACUCUUCUGAAGUUGACCUCGAAUCAGGUAGGAAUACCCGCUGAACUUAAGCAUAUCAAUAAGCGGAGGA